rnacentral:rRNA from 1 species
CCUGCAAAACGAAUCUAAGUUCCCCCUUAACCCUCUUUUCCCUCCCCAGACAAACCCAACCCAAAUGUGAUAGUUAAGGGCUAUUUAAAGGGGGUACAGCCCCUUUAAAAAAGGACACAACCUCCACCAGCGGAUAACCCCUGUACGCCCAACCCCGUGGGCCUUAAAGCAGCCACCCCCAAAGAUUGCGUCAAAGCUCCAUCAACCAAAAACCCCCAAAACCAAUGCGACUCCCUACACCCACAGCAGGCCAACCUAUAACAAUAGAUGAAUCAAUGCUAGAACGAGUAACCAGGACACUAUGUCCCCCCAAGCGCCAGCCUGUAUACCAUUAACAGUAAAACCUCAAUAAUAACCACCCCCACCAUUGAACCCACCCUGUCAA